GUCACACACAGUGGACAGCAUUCCACUUGAAUAUUGGGUCCUCAUCUCUGAGGCCACGAGUUCCCUUGGGCUUGCUGUUAAGGAAUUAACAGGAGAUCCCUCUGCUGCUUUUGGACAAUUACGAAGCUUCUCAAACUCACUGAUUCCAGUGUAUUCUCUAGCUUCAAGGGAAAUGACUUCGGCUCUGAAAUCAGUUUGGGAGUAUUAUCUUAGGACAUUAUAAAACAACAACAAACAAACAAACAAACAAACAAAUAGGGCCAAGAGUCAACUGUAAACAGCUUCACUUAAAAAUCGAACUUUCCAGAAAGGAAGGGUAGGAGUUGAGUUUGCUGUCCAAACAGGUGCUAAAACUGUCCGAGCAGUUUUCAGAUUGGAAAGGUGUUCUUUGGAAGCAGUUGCAACACGUGGAUGGAACUGAAGAAAAGGCUGACUGGCUUGCUAACGGUAUCUCCUGCAGGGGGUUUGUACUGCGGACUUUGAAUGUUUUCUCAGCUCUAAGGCUUGUAUGCUUUCUUACAUACAAUAAACUUAUUUUGUGAAUUC
rnacentral:lncRNA from 1 species